AUGCAAGUCGAGCGGGGGAAGGUAGCUUGCUACUGGACCUAGCGGCGGACGGGUGAGUAAUGCUUAGGAAUCUGCCUAUUAGUGGGGGACAACAUCUCGAAAGGGAUGCUAAUACCGCAUACGUCCUACGGGAGAAAGCAGGGGAUCUUCGGACCUUGCGCUAAUAGAUGAGCCUAAGUCGGAUUAGCUAGUUGGUGGGGUAAAGGCCUACCAAGGCGACGAUCUGUAGCGGGUCUGAGAGGAUGAUCCGCCACACUGGGACUGAGACACGGCCCAGACUCCUACGGGAGGCAGCAGUGGGGAAUAUUGGACAAUGGGGGGAACCCUGAUCCAGCCAUGCCGCGUGUGUGAAGAAGGCCUUAUGGUUGUAAAGCACUUUAAGCGAGGAGGAGGCUACUUUAGUUAAUACCUAGAGAUAGUGGACGUUACUCGCAGAAUAAGCACCGGCUAACUCUGUGCCAGCAGCCGCGGUAAUACAGAGGGUGCGAGCGUUAAUCGGAUUUACUGGGCGUAAAGCGUGCGUAGGCGGCUUAUUAAGUCGGAUGUGAAAUCCCCGA
rnacentral:rRNA from 1 species